CCAAGCCACAUGGGGAGACCACAUGGAGAACUAACUUGCCUCUGUCAAUCCCAUAUGAUCUCCCUGCCAAGUGCCAGCAUCAAAUGCCAACCAUGCUCCAGUGUGACUCAGCACAGUGUUCACAGCCCAUGCUCUCAAGAAUCUCAGCUUAGGAGGAGGCAAAGAGGUAAAGCACAGGUCAACAUGCAGUGUUGGACUACAUAGAAAGUACAUAUCCUUCAUUAGUGCUGGCAAGACAGAUGAAUUAAUGCCUUUCAGGGGUAAACAUCCUAUCUAUUGAUAUUGAUAUUGAUAUUGUUACUGCUGAUGUUGUUAAAUUACUUUUAUGGAAAGAAAUACGUGAUGCCCAGGUCUGCCCAAAAGAGACCUCCUAAAUAUUAUUUGUUUCUUUAAAUAUCUUCUCUCUCUUAUUAUUAAUUGGUAAGGAGAAAAAGAGCUAAAUGUUUCCAAUUUGAAUGUGAUGUGCU
rnacentral:lncRNA from 10 species